rnacentral:rRNA from 1 species
CCUACGGGAGGCAGCAGUAAGGAAUAUUGGUCAAUGGACGAAAGUCUGAACCAGCCAUGCCGCGUGAAGGAUGAGGGUCCUCUGGAUUGUAAACUUCUUUUAUCUGGGACGAAAAAAGGGCAUUCUUGCUCACUUGACGGUACCAGAGGAAUAAGCACCGGCUAACUCCGUGCCAGCAGCCGCGGUAAUACGGAGGGUGCAAGCGUUAUCCGGAUUCACUGGGUUUAAAGGGUGCGUAGGUGGGUUGGUAAGUCAGUGGUGAAAUCUCCGAGCUUAACUCGGAAACUGCCAUUGAUACUAUCAGUCUUGAAUUUUCUGGAGGUAAGCGGAAUAUGUCAUGUAGCGGUGAAAUGCUUAGAUAUGACAUAGAACACCCAUUGCGAAGGCAGCUUACUACGGGAUAAUUGACACUGAGGCACGAAAGCGUGGGGAUCAAACAGGAUUAGAUACCCUGGUAGUCCACGCCCUAAACGAUGGAUACUCGACAUCAGCGAUACACUGUUGGUGUCUGAGCGAAAGCAUUAAGUAUCCACCUGGGAAGUACGACCGCAAGGUUGAAACUUCAAAGGAAUUGACGG